GAUUUAGCCAUGCUAGUCGCACGAGUUCAGACUCGUGGCGAAUAGCUCAGUAACACGUGGCCAAACUACCCUUCGGAACACAAUACCCUCGGGAAACUGAGGCUAAUAGUGUAUACCAUACCACCACUGGAAUGAGUGGUAUGCCAAACGCUCCGGCGCCGAAGGAUGUGGCUGCGGCCGAUUAGGUAGACGGUGGGGUAACGGCCCACCGUGCCAAUAAUCGGUAUGGGUCAUGAGAGUGAGAACCCAGAGACGGAAUCUGAGACAAGAUUCCGGGCCCUACGGGGCGCAGCAGGCGCGAAACCUUUACACUGCACGACAGUGCGAUAGGGGGAUCCCAAGUGCACAGGCAUAGCGCCUGUGCUUUUCGGUACCCUAAGGCGGUACCAGAAUAAGGGCUGGGCAAGACCGGUGCCAGCCGCCGCGGUAAUACCGGCAGCCCAAGUGAUGGCCGAUCUUAUUGGGCCUAAAGCGUCCGUAGCUGGCCGCGCAAGUCCAUCGGGAAAUCCACCUGCUCAACAGGUGGGCGCCCGGUAGAAACUGCGUGGCUUGGGACCGGAAGGCGCGACGGGUACGUCCGGGGUAGGAGUGAAAUCCCGUAAUCCUGGACGGACCGCCGAUGGCGAAAGCACGUCGCGAGAACGGAUCCGACAGUGAGGGACGAAAGCCAGGGUCUCGAACCGGAUUAGAUACCCGGGUAGUCCUGGCCGUAAACAAUGUCUGCUAGGUGUGGCUCCCACUACGAGUGGGUGCUGUGCCGCAGGGAAGCCGCUAAGCAGACCGCCUGGGAAGUACGUCCGCAAGGAUGAAACUUAAAGGAAUUGGCGGGGGAGCACUACACCCGGAGGAGCCUGCGGUCUAAUUUGGACUUCAACUCCGGACAUCCUCACCCAGCCUCGACUGUAGUAAUGACGACCAGGUGAUGACCUUUA
rnacentral:rRNA from 1 species